rfam:Rhodobacterales bacterium 65-51 scnpilot_p_inoc_scaffold_22, whole genome shotgun sequence.
GCGGAUGGCUGGAUGACCGCGUGCGUCGCAAGACGUGCGAGGAAAGUCCGGACUCCAUGAAGUAAGGGUGCCGGGUAACGCCCGGCGGGGGCAACCCCAGGGAAAGCGCCACAGAAAACAAACCGCCCUGCUUGCAGGGUAAGGGUGAAACGGUGGGGUAAGAGCCCACCGCGGGACUGGCAACAGGACCGGCAUGGCAAGCCCCACCCGGAGCAAUGCCGAAUAGGGGCCUCGCGCGGAAAGGUCCGACGUUCAGCCGCAAGGCUGUCGGAGACCUCCGCAAGGGACGCUUCAGCCCAAGAGCGCCCGGGUUGGCAGCUAGAGCGCCGUGGCAACGCGGCGCGCAGAGGAAUGGUCAUCCAGAGGCGGCAACGCCUUGGACAGAAUCCGGCUUACAGGCUAUCCGCGCAA